GCGGCGACGCUGCUGCAGCAGCUGCCGGGCCCCCGAGCUCCACUGUGCCGGGCCCAGGCCGCCUAGAGAGCCGCCGAGCCAGCGCCGGGCCCGGGCCGCAGCCAUCCCGGGCCGGACUCCGAGCACUUUACCUACAUGAGAGAAUUGGAAGCUAAAGCUACCAAAGAAGUUGAAAGAAAACUAAGCAGGGAUUUAGUGCAAGAAGAGGAAGAACAGUUGAUGGAA